rnacentral:rRNA from 1 species
AAGCCGGAUCCAGCCAUGCCGCGUGUGUGAAGAAGGUAUUGGGAUGUAAAGCACUCAAGUUGGGAGGAAGGGCAGUUACCUAAUCCGUGAUCUUUGACGUUACCGACAGCAUAAGCACCCGGCUAAC